GACGAACGCUGGCGGCGUGCUUAACACAUGCAAGUCGAACGGUAAGGCCCUUCGGGGUACACGAGUGGCGAACGGGUGAGUAACACGUGGGUGAUCUGCCCUGCACUUCGGGAUAAGCCUGGGAAACUGGGUCUAAUACCGGAUAGGACCACUGCCUGCAUGGGUGGUGGUGGAAAGCUUUUGCGGUGUGGGAUGGGCCCGCGGCCUAUCAGCUUGUUGGUGGGGUGAGGGCCUACCAAGGCGACGACGGGUAGCCGGCCUGAGAGGGUGACCGGCCACAGUGGGACUGGGGUACGGCCCAGACGCCUACGGGAGGCAGCAGUGGGGAAUAUUGCACAAUGGGCGCAAGCCUGAUGCAGCGACGCCGCGUGAGGGAUGACGGCCUUCGGGUUGUAAACCUCUCUCAGCACCGACGAAGCGCAAGUGACGGUAGGUGCAGAAGAAGGACCGGCCAACUACGUGCCAGCCGCCGCCGUAA
rnacentral:rRNA from 1 species